GCUAGUUGUACGAGUUGAGACUCGUAGCAGAUAGCUCAGUAACACGUGGCCAAACUACCCUAUGGAUCCAGACAACCUCGGGAAACUGAGGCUAAUCUGGAAUAGGGCUCUCAUCCUGGAGUGGAGAGAGCCUGAAAUGCUCCGGCGCCAUAGGAUGUGGCUGCGGCCGAUUAGGUAGACGGUGGGGUAACGGCCCACCGUGCCAGUAAUCGGUACGGGUUGUGAGAGCAAGAGCCCGGAGACGGUAUCUGAGACAAGAUACCGGGCCCUACGGGGCGCAGCAGGCGCGAAACCUUUACACUGCACGCCAGUGCGAUAAGGGGACUCCAAGUGCGAGGGCAUAUAGUCCUCGCUUUUUGCGACCGUAAGGUGGUCGCGGAAUAAGUGCUGGGCAAGACCGGUGCCAGCCGCCGCGGUAAUACCGGCAGCACGAGUGAUGACCGCUGUUAUUGGGCCUAAAGCGUCCGUAGCUGGCCGCGCAAGUCUAUCGGGAAAUCUCUCCGCUUAACGGAGAGGCGUCCGGUGGAAACUGUGUGGCUUGGGACCGGAAGACCAGAGGGGUACGUCUGGGGUAGGAGUGAAA
rnacentral:rRNA from 1 species